UGCAUGGUGGCUUAGUGGUUAGUACUUUUGCCUUGCACCCCAAGGGUUGGGGGUUCGAAUACUGCCUCCGCCCUGUGUGC